CCUACGGGAGGCAGCAGUGGGGAAUAUUGGGCAAUGGGCGAAAGCCUGACCCAGCAACGCCGCGUGAAGGAAGAAGGCUUUCGGGUUGUAAACUUCUUUUGACAGGGAAGAGCAGAAGACGGUACCUGUCGAAUAAGCCACGGCUAACUACGUGCCAGCAGCCGCGGUAAUACGUAGGUGGCAAGCGUUGUCCGGAUUUACUGGGUGGAAAGGGCGUGUAGCCGGGCUGACAAGUCAGAUGUGAAAUCCGGGGGCUCAACCCCCGAACUGCAUUUGAAACUGUUGGUCUUGAGUAUCGGAGAGGCAGGCGGAAGUCCUAGUGUAGCGGUGAAAUGCGUAGAUAUUAGGAGGAACACCAGUGGCGAAGGCGGCCUGCUGGACGACAACUGACGGUGAGGCGCGAAAGCGUGGGGAGCAAACAGGAUUAGAUACCCCAGUAGUC
rnacentral:rRNA from 1 species